UUAUAUACGGACAUACAUUUUGCACGUUUUUCCUAAGUGUUUUCGAAUUAUUAUAGAAACCAUGAAGUUAUUUAAUUUAUAUUUGUAAACAACGAUAAACCAUUGUCCAUCAGCCGUUACCAACGAAAAAUUAUUUAAUCUUAAAACCAUUAUAAAAAAAAAUUACUACGUUGCACUCGACUUUUUACCGCUACAUACAAAUAAUCUAGUAAAAUAUUAAACUGUUUUUCAAGAAAUUUCCAAGCAUUUCAGUUUGGUUAAACAAUUGUAUCAAUUGUAAUUAAUAUGUAUACAUAGUACCUA